rnacentral:lncRNA from 1 species
GGCGCCUAACUUUUUUAUUAUUCAAAUUUAACAUCAGACGGAUACAAGUCAUUAUAAGUAACACUUGGUUUCUGUAUAAUUAAGAUACACACGUACGAUCAAUCCUAAAAAUACAUAGAUCAGAUGAUUAUGAAGAUUAUGAGUACCAUACAUCAUAAAUCAUACCCACACGCAACACCCCGAAAGAUCAGAAGAUCCACCGACCGGAGCCACCAUCGCUGCUCGUACGUACUCGAUAACCCGAGGCCUCGGCGCCCUACUCGUUGCUUGCUGGUGGCGGUGGCGGCUCCAGGGGCCUCGCUGACCCAGAGUACCCGUGGGGUUUCGGCGAGGGAGGCCCGUUCAUCGGCGUAUGCUGCCCCAACCGCCUCGCCGGCGUUCCCAGCUCCAGCUCCCACCCCUUGAGUGCCGGGUUCCGGCCGCCGCUCUCCUCGAAAGCGCCCGCGUCGCCGCAUAGCAGCACUGCAACCACAUGUCCACAUCGACGCACCCGUUCAUGCACGUACAUAACAAAAUCUAGUAUCCGGAACACCCAAAGGAAACUUGGUUGCGUGUACACGUACGUACCCGGCGGCGGCAGGCGAUGUGCGGCGACCGCGCAGGAGUCCAGCAGCAGGGACAGGAGGACGACGGCGGCGGCGACGAGCUGCCGUGCGGCUAUCCUCCGGUACACCAUCGAUGGAGCUGUGUACGCAGGCGGAGCGGAGAGCGCUGAAAGUACACCGGUACUAGCUAGUAGUACGUACAGUUCG